rnacentral:lncRNA from 1 species
AAACUUUAGGUUUCUAGAAAAGUUAGGGUUGUAGAAUGUUAGAUAAACCAUGAAUAUCCAAGCUAUAAGAUGAAUAUGUUCUUGCUCUUGUUGAUUUUCAUGAACAUGUGUCUUGAUGUGUUUGGUGAUUGGUAUGAUAAUAUGAUUUGUUAUGGUUAUGUUAUGAUGUUGAAAUCCUUGUAGUUAUGAACUUGGGAUUCUUGUUGUACAUGUGCAUGUGAGCAUGUAGUAAGAUGGAUGUGUUGGAAGAAUGAGUGUGGCUUUGGUUGGAAAUGGAGUUAUAGGGGAAAAUGGUGUUCUGAGAAGUGGAAAAAUGAAAAUGUGUGUGAACCAAUCGAUUGGCCCUUGUUAUCAAUCGAUUGGCAGCCUUUAGUUUAGCAGAAAAAUGAAAUUUUUACAGGACCAAUCGAUUGACACUGCAUGUCAAUCGAUUGCACAAACUUUCUGUUUAUGAAUAGUGGAAAUUUUCAGCAGGACCAAUCGAUUGACACUCAGCAAAUUUUGAAAAAAUAGAAACGUGAGUGGAACCAAUCGAUUGGGCUUCCCCAACCAAUCGAUUGACUCAAGUUAAAAACCUCAAAAUCCAUUUUCUAAGUGUUUC